rnacentral:rRNA from 1 species
CACCGCCGCGGGAAUACGAAGGGUGCAAGCGUUAAUCGGAAUUACUGGGCGUAAAGCGUGCGUAGGCGGUUUGUUAAGUCUGUUGUGAAAUCCCCGGGCUCAACCUGGGAAUGGCAAUGGAUACUGGCAAGCUAGAGUGUGUCAGAGGAUGGUGGAAUUCCCGGUGUAGCGGUGAAAUGCGUAGAGAUCGGGAGGAACAUCAGUGGCGAAGGCGGCCAUCUGGGACAACACUGACGCUGAGGCACGAAAGCGUGGGGAGCAAACAGGAUUAGAUACCCCGGUAGUCCCUGUCUCUUAUACA